GUAAGGAAUAUUGGACAAUGGAGGAAACUCUGAUCCAGCCAUGCCGCGUGAAGGAUUAAGGCCCUAUGGGUUGUAAACUUCUUUUAUACGGGACAAAACCCCUCUACGUGUAGAGGGUUGAUGGUACUGUAAGAAUAAGGGUCGGCUAACUUCGUGCCAGCAGCCGCGGUAAUACGAAGGACCCAAGCGUUAUCCGGAUUUAUUGGGUUUAAAGGGUGCGUAGGUGGACUUAUAAGUCAGUGGUGAAAGCCUGUUGCUUAACAACAGAACUGCCAUUGAUACUGUAGGUCUUGAGUACAGUUGAGGUGGGCGGAAUGUGUCAAGUAGCGGUGAAAUGCUUAGAUAUGACACAGAACACCAAUUGCGAAGGCAGCUCGCUAAGCUGUAACUGACACUGAGGCACGAAAGCGUGGGUAGCAAACAGGAUUAGAAACCCCAGUAGUCC
rnacentral:rRNA from 1 species